rnacentral:rRNA from 1 species
UGAAUACGAGAUGCUACGGCGUCGAAGCAGUCUAUGUCAUACUUCCAAGAAAAGCUCGCACUGUCAUAAACAAAUAAUGCCUGUACCAUAACCGACACAGGUGGGUAGGUAGAGUAUACUAAGGGGCGCGAGAUAACUCUCUCUAAGGAACUCGGCAAAAUGACUCCGUAACUUCGGGAGAAGGAGUGCCUUAUUUAUAAGGUUGCAAUAACAAGAUCCAAGCAACUGUUUAUCAAAAACACAGGUCUCCGCUAAGUCGUAAGACGAUGUAUGGGGGCUGACGCCUGCCCAGUGCCAGAAGGUUAAAGAAGUUGGUUAGCAUUCGCGAAGCUGAUAACUGAAGCCCUGGUGAACGGCGGCCGUAACAAUAACGGUCCUAAGGUAGCGAAAUUCCUUGUCGGGUAAGUUCCGACCCGCACGAAAGGCGUAAUGAUUUGGAUACUGUCUCGGAGAGGGGCUCGGUGAAAUAGACUUGUCUGUGAAGAUGCGGACUACCUGCACCAGGACAGAAAGACCCUAUGAAGCUUUACUGUAACUUGAGAUUGAAAUUGGACUUUACUUGCGCAGUAUAGGUGGGAGGCGUUGAUAAUAUUCUUGCGGGAAUAUUUGAGCCAUCAGUGAGAUACCACUCCUGUAAUGUUAGAUUUCUAACUUUGUAUCAUUAUCUGGUCAAAGGACAGUUUCAGGCGGGCAGUUUGACUGGGGCGGUCGCCUCCUAAACGGUAACGGAGGCGCACAAAGGUUUCCUCUGAACGGGUAGAAAUCGUAUCUAGAGUGUAAAGGCAUAAGGAAGCUUGACUGUGAGACCUACAAGUCGAGCAGGGACGAAAGUCGGUCUUAGUGAUCUGACGGUGCUGAGUGGAAAGGCCGUCACUCAACGGAUAAAAGUUACUCUAAGGAUAACAGGCUGAUCUCCCCCAAGAGUUCACAUCGACGGGGAGGUUUGGCACCUCGAUGUCGGCUCAUCGCAUCCUGGGGCGGUAGUACGUCCCAAGGGUUGGGCUGUUCGCCCAUGAAAGCGGUACGCGAGCUGGGUUCAGAACGUCGUGAGACAGUUCGGUCCAUAUCCGGUGUAGGCGUUAGAAUAUUGAGAGGAGCCUUCUUUAGUACGAGAGGACCGAGAAGGACAUACCUCUGGUGUACCAGUUAUCGUGCCAACGGUAAACGCUGGGUAGCUAUGUAUGGAGUGGAUAACCGCUGAAAGCAUCUAAGUGGGAAGCCCACCUCAAGAUAAGUAUUCCC